rnacentral:lncRNA from 1 species
GAAGGAUACUGUAUACCUAUACAUAAAUCAGGAGAUAUAAAUAACCCUGAAAAUUACAGAGGUAUAGCUAUAAAUUCUUGUAUUGGAAAGUUAUUUAAUGUUGUGUUAAAUACAAGACUUUCUAAACAUUUAGAUGAGAGAAAUAUUUUGACUGAUUGCCAAGCUGGCUUCAGAAAUAAAUCAAGGACAACAGAUCACAUGUUUAUCCUCAAAUGCUUAAUUGAUAAAUAUACUAACUGUAAGGGAAGUAAAAUUUUAUGCUUGUUUUAUUGACUUUAAAAGAGCUUUUGAUACUGUGAUACACCCAGGUAUUCUUAUCAAAAUGCUCAAGUCAGACAUUGGGGGAAAUUUUACCAGUUAAUUAAACACAUGUAUACACUUAAUAAUUUAAGAGUAAAAGUUGAUAACAAACUAGGUCCAUGUUUUAACUCUUAUAUUGGGGUUAGACAAGGGGAUGUUUUAAGCCCUGCCCUUUUUAAUCUAUUCAUAAAUGAUCUACCUAACUGUUUACUAAAUUGUCCUGAUAGUGUAAAACUCAGCACUAGUCGCAUAGACUGUCUUAUGUAUGCAGAUGAUGUCAUUGUAUUUUCUGAUUCUGCAGAUGGACUUCAAAAGCGCUUGAAGGCAUUGGAAUCAUACUGUGAUACCUGGUGCCUUAAUGUAAACUUAAAAAAAACUAAAGUAUUAAUCUUUAAUAAAAGUGGACGCCACAUAAAAGAACCAUUUUAUUUUAAAAGUGAAUUAAUUGAAACUGUUUUCAAAUAUAAAUACCUUGGAGUUAUAUUCCAGUCAAGUGGCCUAUUUAAUUAUGCAAAAGAAGACUUAUUUAAUAAAUCUUUAAAAGCUUCAUAUAAACUUAAUAGAUGUUUAUCUGGCUCAGAUGCUAGUAUUAAAACAAAUUUACAUCUGUUUGACCAUACCAUUAAACCUAUUAUUUUGUAUGGCUCAGAGAUAUGGGGAAUGUUUAAAACCAACUCUGCUUCCUGUAAAAAAGAUGCUACAAAUGUGCUUGAAAAAAUAUACCAGAAUAAUGUUGCUGAUAAAAUGAACUUAAAGUUCUGUAAGCAUAUUCU